rnacentral:lncRNA from 1 species
GAUGGCACCAGGCCCUCCCAUACGCUCUAUGAAAAUGAUGAGAAUGACUUCCAAGGCUGUGAGUGGUGGCUGAUGAGAAGCUAAGAAGAGGAACCUCAAAGUUAAACUGAUUGGGUGGAGGAACAGACGACAACGCACCGAUUGGAGUGAUGGUGUCCUGCUCAGAAAUGGAUGUGCUGGAUGGCAGAAGAGGAUUCUUGGCCAAGUAUGGAAUCAUCUCUGUUCCUUCACGAAGAUUCCUCAUGCUGAAGAAGAGAGAGGUUUUCUGACAACAGAUUCUUGACGAAGAAUGAGAAGAAGGUUUCUGACAUGAGAAGCCUCACGACCUGCCUCUCCCUCCUGGACUUUCUCUGCACUCUACGUGACUGCUGCCUAAGGUCAGCCACUCUGCUGCUGCUCUCCCCCCCCGAGAAGGUGUCGGAACAUCGUGCAACGGGACGACUGCCGGAUCCUGGUGGUGACUAUCCCCACUUUAUGUAGUUCUUGCCUCUUACUGUCUUUUCUAUCGCCCGCCUUCCCUUCCCUAUCGCCCUAAAUCGUCCAUCCUCCCCUUCCCCAUCCC